rnacentral:rRNA from 1 species
AGUGAACGCUGGCGGUAGGCCUAACACAUGCAAGUCGAACGGCAGCACAGUAAGAGCUUGCUCUUACGGGUGGCGAGUGGCGGACGGGUGAGGAAUACAUCGGAAUCUACUUUUUCGUGGGGGAUAACGUAGGGAAACUUACGCUAAUACCGCAUACGACCUACGGGUGAAAGCAUGGGAUCUUCGCACCUGCUCGAUUGAAUGAGCCGAUGUCGGAUUAGCUAGUUGGCGGGGUAAAGGCCCACCAAGGCGACGAUCCGUAGCUGGUCUGAGAGGAUGAUCAGCCACACUGGAACUGAGACACGGUCCAGACUCCUACGGGAGGCAGCAGUGGGGAAUAUUGGACAAUGGGCGCAAGCCUGAUCCAGCCAUACCGCGUGGGUGAAGAAGGCCUUCGGGUUGUAAAGCCCUUUUGUUGGGAAAGAAAAGCAGCAGGUUAAUACCCCGCUGUUCUGACGGUACCCAAAGAAUAAGCACCGGCUAACUUCGUG